GAUGAAGAACGUAGCGAAAUGCGAUAAGUAGUGUGAAUUGCAGAAUUCAGUGAAUCAUCGAAUCUUUGAACGCACAUUGCGCCCCUUGGUAUUCCAUGGGGCAUGCCUGUUCGAGCGUCAUUUGUACCCUCAAGCCUAGCUUGGUGUUGGGUGUUUGUCUCGCCUCUGCGUGUAGACUCGCCUCAAAACAAUUGGCAGCCGGCGUAUUGAUUUCGGAGCGCAGUACAUCUCGCGCUUUGCACUCAUAACGACGACGUCCAAAAGUACAUUUUUACACUCUUGACCUCAGAUCAGGUAGGGAUACCCGCUGAACUUAAGCAUAUCAAUAAGCGGAGGA
rnacentral:misc_RNA from 1 species